AAGCGGAGGAAAAGAAACCAACAGGGAUUGCCCUAGUAACGGCGAGUGAAGCGGCAACAGCUCAAAUUUGAAAUCUGGCUUCGGCCCGAGUUGUAAUUUGCAGAGGAAGCUUUAGGCGCGGCACCUCCUGAGUCCCCUGGAACGGGGCGCCACAGAGGGUGAGAGCCCCGUAUAGUUGGAUGCCUAGCCUGUGUAAAGCUCCUUCGACGAGUCGAGUAGUUUGGGAAUGCUGCUCAAAAUGGGAGGUAAAUUUCUUCUAAAGCUAAAUACCGGCCAGAGACCGAUAGCGCACAAGUAGAGUGAUCGAAAGAUGAAAAGCACUUUGAAAAGAGGGUUAAAUAGCACGUGAAAUUGUUGAAAGGGAAGCGCUUGUGACCAGACUUGCGCCGGGCUGAUCAUCCGGUGUUCUCACCGGUGCACUCUGCCCGGCUCAGGCCAGCAUCGGUUCUCGCGGGGGGAUAAAGGCCCUGGGAACGUAGCUCCUCCGGGAGUGUUAUAGCCCGGGGCGUAAUGCCCUCGCGGGGACCGAGGUUCGCGCUCUGCAAGGAUGCUGGCGUAAUGGUCAUCAGCGACCCGUCUUGAAACCACGGA
rnacentral:rRNA from 1 species